rnacentral:tRNA from 1 species
GCGAGGGUAGCCAAGCCAGGUCAAAGGCGCUAGGUUGAGGGCCUAGUCUCGUAGGAGUUCUCGAGUUCGAAUCUCGUCCCUCGCA